rfam:Cupriavidus sp. SK-3 Scaffold256, whole genome shotgun sequence.
GUCGUCGAAACAGCGAUGACCGGGAUUGGCGUCCCGAAGUACAGGCGGACAAGCCGCCAAGUUGCGGCUUUUUU